CGUGGCCGGCCCUGUCCAUAGGCGCUUUCGGCUUCAGAGCGAGGUCGGCCGGAAGGCCCGCCCUUUGCCUUCGAGGCGCCUAGUCGGGCGCGGGUGGGGCGGCCAUGGCUGUCCGCGGCCGCUUCUCUGCCGCCCCUUCCGGGGGGCCCGUGGAGGCCUCCGCAGCCGCCGAUGGAGCUGUGGAGGAGGCCAACCCCUUCUCGUUCAAGGAAUUUGUGCGGAGCCAGAACCAGCGUGAAGCUGUGGUACAUAGCAGUGAGGGCAGGAGCCAUAAGGCCAAUCCCAAGGAGUCUGCCAGGUGUCCUGCAGUGCUGGAUGGUGCCUCCUUAUCCCCUGAAUCAUUAGGACUGAGGUUGGAAUGCCAGGAAUGUUUUUUCUCUCACCCAACAGCUGCAGGCUCCUUGCUGGAAGAGGAAGAGGAAGGAUGGAGUGGCCUGUACCAGCCAUCUGCUGUGGAAGAGGCUCACUUGGCCAGGGUCUCCAGUAUUUCACUAAGCAGCACCUUUGACUCUUUUUACUGUGACCCCUCUGACCUCCCGACUCCUUCAUCAUGGCAGCUGGGAGGGAGCGAUGGCUACCAAGAUGGUCCGCUUGAAGGAGGAGACCAGAGCUCAUCUCUUGAUGAAGAAACUGCAGAAGACGGCUUUUAUCCACCUUUGCAAGCAACCUAUGAAGAACUGAAAGAAGACAAUUCAAAGUUUAAGAAUAGGAUCAGCUAUCUUCAAGCAGCUUGUGAAGCUCAGGCAAAGAGGGUAAAAGAACUGAAAAGAACACUAGAGGAUCACAAACUGAAAGAAGCCAAGGAGGCCCGGGACUUAGAAGCCAUGGUGCAGCAGGUGGAAGAAAACCUCCGGCUGAUGACUGAGCGACAAUCUGUUUUACCUGGCCCACUCCUCAUAGCUGUGAAAUGCACCAUCUUACUGUUUUCUGUUCCAGAAACGGGCCAUGAAGGCAGAAAACAGUGUUAUGAAGCUGAAACAAGAAAAUGCACAACUUCAGGUUCAAAUGAAGAACUGCCAGGUGGAAAAUGAAGCCUUGAAGUCCAAUCACUCAGCUAAUUUGGCUGUAAUGAAACAAAAUGCAGAUGUUGCCUUGCAGAAUCUUUUGUCUGUCAUAACAAAAUCACACUCAUCUAUCAAGCAACUGCUGUCUGGGGCGGAAGCACUGCAACUCGUUGCUGAUCUCCUCAAGUCUAUAGACAGAAUCUCUGAGAUACCAGAAGGUUCACCAUAAGAAAACCACAAGGAAGGUUCUCGGAGAGACUUCAUGUAUAUCUUGGAAAUAAUAUUGAGAAGAUGCCUCGUAUUCUGCAUGCUAGAAUUUUUUAGAAGUAUGCAACCCUUGAAUAUUACACCCUGAUCCAGAGCAAGUAUGCAAUUCAGAUCCUUUCUUGACUUGCAGAUGCUACCUAGAGAUCCUUUUUCCCACUUGGCUGGGGCUAGCUGGUUGUGUUUGCAUCUUGUUUAAAAUGUACGGUAAAAGAUUUGGUAUUUAUUGGGAGCUUUGUUCAGAAUUUACAUUUGGCUCCUUGUGGCUGGAGGCGUUGCUUUCUGACUGAGCACUGCCUCACUGGAGAAAAUCAAUUUUUUCUAAGUCUACUGAUGUAAACAAUGAGAGAUGACUAAUUAUGUUUUGUGCAGCAAAGACAGAAACAUUCAAGAUUUGACAAGUUUCCAGAAUGCAUCAUUUUGAAACUUUAAAUUCCACUACAUUUUGUAAUAGUAAUUUUAUUUUAAUUUUCUUAAAAUAAAAUGCUUAUCUAUA